CCUACGGGGGGCAGCAGUGGGGGAUAUUGCACAAUGGGGGAAACCCUGAUGCAGCGACGCCGCGUGGGCGAAGAAGUAUUUCGGUAUGUAAAGCCCUAUCAGCAGGGAAGAAGAAAUGACGGUACCUGAGUAAGAAGCACCGGCUAAAUAGGUGCCAGCAGCCGCGGUAAUACGUAGGGUGCAAGCGUUAUCCGGAUUUACUGGGUGUAAAGGGCGCGCAGGCGGCACGGCAAGCCUGAUGUGAAAGCCCGGGGCCCAACCGCGGGACUGCAUUGGGAACUGCCGGGCUGGAGUGCCGGAGAGGUAGGCGGAAUUCCUAGUGUAGCGGUGAAAUGCGUAGAUAUUAGGAGGAACACCAGUGGCGAAGGCGGCCUACUGGACGGUGACUGACGCUGAGGCUCGAAAGCGUGGGGAGCAAACAGGAUUAGAUACCCGUGUAGUC
rnacentral:rRNA from 1 species